rnacentral:rRNA from 1 species
ACGCUCGACACCUACGGAGGCAGCAGUGGGGAAUAUUGCACAAUGGGGGAAACCCUGAUGCAGCGACGCCGCGUGAAGGAANAAGUAUUCGGAUGUAAACUUCUAUCAGGACAGGGAAAAAUGACGUACNANAGAGCCCGACUAACUACGUGCCGANACGCCGACGUAUNUGNGCGNNGNAG